rnacentral:rRNA from 1 species
GACGAACGCUGGCGGCGUGCUUAACACAUGCAAGUCGAACGGAAAGGCCCUGCUUUUGUGGGGUGCUCGAGUGGCGAACGGGUGAGUAACACGUGAGUAACCUGCCCUUGACUUUGGGAUAACUUCAGGAAACUGGGGCUCAUACCGGAUAUGAGCUCCUGCUGCAUGGUGGGGGUUGGAAAGUUUCGGCGGUUGGGGAUGGACUUGCGGCUUAUCAGCUUGUUGGUGGGGUAGUGGCUUACCAAGGCUUUGACGGGUAGUCGGCCUGAGAGGGUGACCGGCCACAUUGGGACUGAGAUACGGCCCAGACUCCUACGGGAGGCAGCAGUGGGGAAUAUUGCACAAUGGACGGAAGCCUGAUGCAGCAACGCCGCGUGCGGGAUGACGGCCUUCGGGUUGUAAACCGCGUUCGCCUGUGACGAAGCGUGAGUGACGGUAAUGGGUAAAGAAGCACCGGCUAACUACGUG